UACGGGGGGGGCAAGCGUUGUUCGGAAUUACUGGGCGUAAAGGGUUUGUAGGUGGCCCGCUAAGUCACACGUGAAAUCCCUCAGCUUAACUGGGGAACUGCGUGUGAGACUGGCAGGCUCGAGGGCAGGAGAGGAACGCGGAAUUCCAGGUGUAGCGGUGAAAUGCGUAGAUAUCCGGAGGAACACCGGUGGCGAAGGCGGCUUCCUGGACCGACACUGACGCUGAGGCGCGAAAGCUAGGGGAGCAAACGGG
rnacentral:rRNA from 1 species